rnacentral:rRNA from 1 species
AAUGCAAGUCGAGCGAACAGACGAGGAGCUUGCUCCUUUGACGUUAGCGGCGGACGGGUGAGUAACACGUAGGUAACCUACCUAUAAGACUGGGAUAACUUCGGGAAACCGGAGCUAAUACCGGAUAAUAUUUCGAACCGCAUGGUUCGAUAGUGAAAGAUGGCUUUGCUAUCACUUAUAGAUGGACCUGCGCCGUAUUAGCUAGUUGGUAAGGUAACGGCUUACCAAGGCAACGAUACGUAGCCGACCUGAGAGGGUGAUCGGCCACACUGGAACUGAGACACGGUCCAGACUCCUACGGGAGGCAGCAGUAGGGAAUCUUCCGCAAUGGGCGAAAGCCUGACGGAGCAACGCCGCGUGAGUGAUGAAGGUCUUCGGAUCGUAAAACUCUGUUAUUAGGGAAGAACAAACGUGUAAGUAACUGUGCACGUCUUGACGGUACCUAAUCAGAAAGCCACGGCUAACUACGUGCCAGCAGCCGCGGUAAUACGUAGGUGGCAAGCGUUAUCCGGAAUUAUUGGGCGUAAAGCGCGCGUAGGCGGUUUUUUAAGUCUGAUGUGAAAGCCCACGGCUCAACCGUGGAGGGUCAUUGGAAACUGGAAAACUUGAGUGCAGAAGAGGAAAGUGGAAUUCCAUGUGUAGCGGUGAAAUGCGCAGAGAUAUGGAGGAACACCAGUGGCGAAGGCGACUUUCUGGUCUGUAACUGACGCUGAUGUGCGAAAGCGUGGGGAUCAAACAGGAUUAGAUACCCUGGUAGUCCACGCCGUAAACGAUGAGUGCUAAGUGUUAGGGGGUUUCCGCCCCUUAGUGCUGCAGCUAACGCCUUAAGCACUCCGCCUGGGGAGUACGACCGCAAGGUUGAA